rnacentral:rRNA from 1 species
AUUGAACGCUGGCGGCAGGCCUAACACAUGCAAGUCGGGCGAGUGGCGGACGGGUGAGUAAUGCUUGGGAAUCUGCCCGAUGGAGGGGGAUAACUACUGGAAACGGUAGCUAAUACCGCAUACCAUCGGAUGUGCCCAGAUGGGAUUAGCUAGUUGGUGAGGUAAUGGCUCACCAAGGCGACGAUCCCUAGCUGGUCUGAGAGGAUGACCAGCCACAAUGUGACUGAGACACGGCCCAGACUCCUACGUGAGGCAGCAGUGGGUAAUAUUGCACAAUGGGCGCAAGCCUGAUGCAGCCAUGCCGCGUGUAUGAAGAAGGCCUUCGGGUUGUAAAGUACUUUCAGUCGGGAGGCGUUACCGACAGAAGAAGCACCGGCUAACUCCGUGCCAGCAGCCGCGGUAAUUC